UACGUAGGGCGCAAGCGUUGUCCGGAAUUAUUGGGCGUAAAGAGCUCGUAGGCGGUUUGUCGCGUCUGUUGUGAAAACUCGAGGCUCAACCUCGGGCUUGCAGUGGGUACGGGCAGACUAGAGUGCGGUAGGGGUGACUGGAAUUCCUGGUGUAGCGGUGGAAUGCGCAGAUAUCAGGAGGAACACCGAUGGCGAAGGCAGGUCACUGGGCCGCAACUGACGCUGAGGAGCGAAAGCAUGGGGAGCGAACAGG
rnacentral:rRNA from 1 species